CACCUGGAGACGAGCGGGGCGGGUGGGCCUUUUGCGCACGCGCGGGCGCGCGCCUGGUGGCCCGGGGCCCGACCGGAGCGCGCGCCCCGCUGGGGGAUGGAGAGCGCUGCUCAGCGGGUUCCGGGGACGCGGCGGGGCUGCUGGGUUGGGCCGCCCGGUCCCCGCUUCCACUUGGGGAUGCUGCAGCUUGCAGCUUCGCUCCCCCUCACCCACUCGCGUCGUUUAGAAGUCCGGCUGCAACUCUGCUUGCAAAAUUCAAGUUUUCUCGCUUCUGCAGCAGUUUACUGGGGAGAACGUCAGGCCUCCUCGCUCGGUUUUGUCCGUCAGGUCCGGAGGGGUCGAGUGGGCGCCGGGAGGGAGGGAAAGAGGGCUGAGGCCCGGGAUGCUCCUCGCAGCUCCGGCUUCCCUGGGGACUUCUCCUAAACCAGCCCUCCAGGGCUUGCUUGAUUUUCUUUUUUAUUUAUUUUUAACUUCUGAAGCCGUCUUCUUCCCUUCUUCCAGCUGUUUCUUGGCUGUUUGCUGUUUUCACCAAUGACAGCCUCAGCCUUGUGUUCGUUUCCCUGAGUGGAGGGACGGAGCCGUGUCCCUGAUAAAAACAGACUAAGUCGGGUACUUCAUCCCUUCCUCCCCUCAUCUCCUGCCUGCCUCAAAUCCCUUCUGACACCUUGCAUCCUCCUUCCCAGUACUUAUGACAUGCUUCAGUUUUCCCAUGUUUUUGGGAGUCACCCACCUCUGUCCUGGAAUGAAAGCUCUGAGAAGGCAGGGACCACGUCUGCUUUGCUCACUGCGAGCAGGUCGCAUGGUGCCUGACUCCGGGCGGGGACUCAGAUGGUCUUUGCCGGCUGCUGGAGCUGAGGGAGUGUGGUUUCUUCAGGUUAACUUUGCCCCACCGGAGUUCAAAGGUCUCUUUCAGUCUAAAGAAAACCUGCUUGUUUCUGGCAAGUGCCAGUGGGAAAUUUCAGAAUGGAGCAGGGUGUGCCCGGCAGCCUUCUGGAUCAGAGAGGUUUUGCCUGUGUUCAGAGGUGAAGGUGUUUCCCACACAGCUGAAGAGCGUCAAGCAGGCUUGACCCUGUGGCCAGGCUGACCCCUGCGCUCUCCUUGGUGUCGUCAGCCUGAG
rnacentral:lncRNA from 1 species